rnacentral:tRNA from 1 species
CCACCCCUAGCUCAAUGGUUAGAGCACCAAGCUUAUAUCUUGGCGGUUCCAGGUUCGAAUCCUGGGGGGUGGA